GCCGGGCAUGGUGGCACACGCCUGUAAUCCCAGUGGCUUGGGAGGCUGAGGAAGGAGGAUCGUGAGUUAAAAGCCAGCCUCAGCAAUGGCAAGGCAUUAGGCAACUCAGUGAGAUCCUGUCUCUA
rnacentral:sRNA from 1 species